rnacentral:sRNA from 1 species
UGUACAAUAGGACGGCUCCUCAAGGGGGAUCGGCUCACCUCUUUACCCCGCAAGGGAAGGGGGUGAGAAAAUGACAGUAUAUGAAGCAAUCGCAUUGAUGAUUGCUUUCGGCAUGUUGAUUGCCAUGCUGUCAAAUGAUAGAAAAAGUAGAUCACCCUUGAGCCUGGAGGGCUGGUGAUCUAACAUUCCCUUCACUUGAGCCGACGCCCUUGUGUGGGCAUCUAUUGUACUUCGGUCAUAGGUGUUGCCGCACCUACG